rnacentral:piRNA from 1 species
UGAGAAAAUGCCUCAAUAAGAGUUGCUGUA